UACGUAGGGACCAAGCGUUGUUCGGAUUUACUGGGCGUAAAGGGCGCGUAGGCGGCGUGACAAGUCACUUGUGAAAUCUCCGGGCUUAACUCGGAACGGCCAAGUGAAACUGUCAUGCUAGAGUGCAGAAGGGGCAAUCGGAAUUCUUGGUGUAGCGGUGAAAUGCGUAGAUAUCAAGAGGAACACCUAAGGUGAAGACGGGUUGCUGGCUGACACUGACGCUGAGGCGCGAAAGCCAGGGGAGCAAACGGG
rnacentral:rRNA from 1 species